rnacentral:rRNA from 1 species
UACGUAGGGUGCGAGCGUUGUCCGGAAUUAUUGGGCGUAAAGAGCUUGUAGGCGGUCUGUCGCGUCUGCUGUGAAAAUCCGGGGCUCAACCCCGGACUUGCAGUGGGUACGGGCAGACUAGAGUGUGGUAGGGAGACUGGAAUUCCUGGUGUAGCGGUGAAAUGCGUAGAUAUCUGGAGGAACACCGGUGGCGAAGGCGGCGUCCUGGACCAACACUGACACUGAUGAGCGAAAGCCAGGGGAGCAAACGGG